UACGGAGGGUGCAAGCGUUGUCCGGAAUCACUGGGCGUAAAGGGCGCGUAGGCGGCUCAUGAAGGCUGUGGUGAAAGUCCGGGGCUCAACCUCGGAUCGGCCGUGGCGACUCGUGGGCUGGAGCACUGUAGAGGCGGGUGGAAUUCCGGGUGUAGCGGUGGAAUGCGUAGAGAUCCGGAAGAACACCAGUGGCGAAGGCGGCCCGCUGGGCAGUGGCUGACGCUGAGGCGCGACAACGUGGGGAGCAAACAGG
rnacentral:rRNA from 1 species